UAAGUGCGAAACUGACCUGAAGAUGAGUAUUCCAAAUAAGGGCCGUUGUAGAUGACAACGUUGAUAGGUUGCAGAUGUAUAGGUAGAGAUACCAGAGUCGAGCAAUACUAAUUACCCAACAGCUUAUGAUAU
rnacentral:rRNA from 1 species